CAAGUUAGUAUCUAUCGCGUUUAUAGUAACAUCCAUAUUAUACUGUUUUAGGAAUGUGUUUGCUUAUGCUUGACGGAGAAUAUGUACUCGGUUCUAAAUCAUCUUGUCCAAUAUAGUCUAGCGUUCAAAUCCUGAGAAAUUAACGUAUCCACUAACUUAGUAAUAUUUACCUAUCCAUCAAAAAUAAAUAAAAAAUUCAGUUUAAUAUAUACACUAAAAUUACCUGAUUAACACUUGUUUCUCGCGCUCCGAUGUGUUAUAGUUGUGACUUUCUAAAGCUAUAAAUCCUAGCUUUUGAUUUCACUGUGAAAACAAAGGAGUACUAAAUCCAUUACUCUGUGUAGAUAGUGUACCAUGGUUGCACAAAUAGUCAAAUACUUGUAGAUAUUCCUGCAAAAAAAUUCUAUAAUACUAACUAAAAACAUUUAAAAUAAAUUCCCC
rnacentral:lncRNA from 1 species